GUGCACUUUUCUUCAUAUCUGGAGUGACAAUAUAGACUAUUCCAGCACUACUAAAUUUAGUAAAGAGCAGACUGCUUUCCUAAAAGAUUGUGUAAUCACAUGACAAUUCUGUUGUGGGUUCAACUUGGCCAGUUUUGUUAACUUGAUAUCACAUUCUCUUGUUGGAGAUUUAGACAUGCUUAAUAACCAAUUUGUGAAACCUGAGCCAAAAAAUCCUGUUUUUGUAUUUUACUCAAUUAAAUAAAUGGAGCACACCUGCAGGCUGUAGGUAAUAAUUAGUUCACAGUUAAAAAUAAAUAAAUAAAUAAACAUUUUCACAUUCCAUAAAUCAACUCACCGAGUGUGAACCAGCUACUUUAUGGGCAAACUCUUCUGAACUUGAUCACUUUAUAAGCUCUUGUGUAAAGUCAUCUUGAACUGUUAACUGCUAAGAAUUAGUAUUGAUGUCUAGUAUCUCAGCUAGCUUUGUGAAUAUUGCUUUUUUCUGCUGCACACAGUCUUUUAAUUUAAACGGACAAGAAGUGUGUUUAAAUAAAAUAAAAAAAGUCCAACUUGAGAUGUUUUCAGCGUAGGAGUUGAAACAUAUUAGUGCGACUCUAAAAGAGGGCAUUGGCUAAUAGUCUGAAAUGUAAAUUAAAAUGUUGUUGCCCUGGUCACGAUACUUGUACUGUGGGAUUAAUCUGCAGCGUAGUGACAAGCCCAGCUGAACAAUGUGCAAUGCCUCCCCUCUACUCCCUGGACAAUUCUCCCUGACACGCAGAGGACAGCUUCCUGGCCCUCUUCCUCUGACUGUAAUGGAGGUCGGAUGCUGCUUUUCCGCAUUUCUGCCCACAUUAGCAUCUCUAGUUAAUUGGCACCAUUUGCUCAAUGGCAUCGCUUGAGUUUGUAAAUUACUUUUACAAUUGUCGCUAAUUAUCAAGCUCGAUGAGUGGAAUUGGCGCGAUUGGUCCCCAGUGGAGCAGAAACACAACAGGCGGAGGAAGGAUUAAGACUCUGGGGGCGACAAGAGGAGCUGGCUAGCUGAGAAAUACGCGUGGAGGAAAUUGGAUUUUGCCCUCUGGCACAGCAGCAGGAUCAGAUUGUGACUGCAGUACCGUGGAUCUUAUCUUAGCUGCAGCAUUGGUCCAAAACAUAUUGCUGGCCUUCUCUCAGUGGAAAUAGGCUUCAACUGGGCUUUACUGUUGACAGCACAAAGAGCAGCAGAGAUGGCCUUGGCAUUUCCUUAACAGCGUCUGAAGUCUGUCGUAACCCAGACUGCAAAUGUUGUGCAUCUCCUGUUGCUCGAACAAGACUGGGAAAAGCAAGGAGAUCCGUUCGAAGAGAAGAAUUGAAAAGUGUCCUGUUCCUGCAGACUCACACGUCAUAUGGACUAUCAUCUACAGGUUGAUGUAUCUGUCAAUGAAUAGUAUUUUUAUGAAUGAUUAGCAGCCUCUCUUUUGUUUUGGUGCGCUUGUGUGUGCACAAGCAUGUGCACAUUUGUAAAGUAUG